rnacentral:rRNA from 1 species
GUAGAGUUUGAUCCUGGCUCAGGACGAACGCUGGCGGCGUGCCUAAUACAUGCAAGUCGAGCGGACAGAAGGGAGCUUGCUCCCGGAUGUUAGCGGCGGACGGGUGAGUAACACGUGGGUAACCUGCCUGUAAGACUGGGAUAACUCCGGGAAACCGGAGCUAAUACCGGAUAGUUCCUUGAACCGCAUGGUUCAAGGAUGAAAGACGGUUUCGGCUGUCACUUACAGAUGGACCCGCGGCGCAUUAGCUAGUUGGUGAGGUAACGGCUCACCAAGGCGACGAUGCGUAGCCGACCUGAGAGGGUGAUCGGCCACACUGGGACUGAGACACGGCCCAGACUCCUACGGGAGGCAGCAGUAGGGAAUCUUCCGCAAUGGACGAAAGUCUGACGGAGCAACGCCGCGUGAGUGAUGAAGGUUUUCGGAUCGUAAAGCUCUGUUGUUAGGGAAGAACAAGUGCAAGAGUAACUGCUUGCACCUUGACGGUACCUAACCAGAAAGCCACGGCUAACUACGUGCCAGCAGCCGCGGUAAUACGUAGGUGGCAAGCGUUGUCCGGAAUUAUUGGGCGUAAAGGGCUCGCAGGCGGUUUCUUAAGUCUGAUGUGAAAGCCCCCGGCUCAACCGGGGAGGGUCAUUGGAAACUGGGAAACUUGAGUGCAGAAGAGGAGAGUGGAAUUCCACGUGUAGCGGUGAAAUGCGUAGAGAUGUGGAGGAACACCAGUGGCGAAGGCGACUCUCUGGUCUGUAACUGACGCUGAGGAGCGAAAGCGUGGGGAGCGAACAGGAUUAGAUACCCUGGUAGUCCACGCCGUAAACGAUGAGUGCUAAGUGUUAGGGGGUUUCCGCCCCUUAGUGCUGCUAGCCUUAUUACGCUCUUAAGCAAUGA